GGUCGGGUGGCAGAGUGGUCGAAUGCACCGGUUUUGAAAACCGGCGUGGGGAAACUCACCGGGGGUUCGAAUCCCUCCCCGACCGC
rnacentral:tRNA from 2 species